rnacentral:rRNA from 1 species
ACUCCUACGGGAGGCAGCAGUGGGGAAUACUGCACAAUGGGCGCAAGCCUGAUGCAGCCAUGCCGCGAAUGCUGGUUGGAAGAAAGGCCUUCGGGUUGUAAAGCACUUUCAGUAGGGAGGAAGGUAGUGUAGUUAACACCUGCAUUAUUUGACGUUACCUACAGAAGAAGCACCGGCUAACUCCGUGCCAGCAGCCGCGGUAAUACGGAGGGUGCGAGCGUUAAUCGGAAUUACUGGGCGUAAAGCGC